AGACUCUCGAGCGCCGGCCCCAGGAUGACAAUCACAUCCCAGGAGCGCCGAUCUCUUCCAACUUUCCUCUUCUGCUAACUCGGGGCGGAGUGGCAGUCCCGCCGCCCCGAAGCACAAAGGGAACGAGGCCGCGGGCUGUGCGCCGGCGAACGCUCUGCGCUCUCCUAGCCACAGUAGAUCGCGGACUUAGCGGAUUUCUUGUUCUCCGGCAGGCUGGGCUCCGAGGCCAUUCGUUGCCCACCCCCCUCUGGCGUCUUCCCCAAGCCAGGGGGCCCGGAGAGCCAGCUGGAGAUCCGGAAUGAAAGUCUCUGGGAGAGCCGAUGGAUGGCCCGCGCCCAGGGCGCAGGAAGUCCGGGAUGACUGCCCCUCUGCGCCGGCAGCAGCAGGUGGGCGAGAGACAGGCCUCAGACGUCUGCACGUCUCCGCCUCGCCUUCCUUCUACCGACCCCCCGCCGGACGGCGAGGGAGAAGACACUGGUUCCUGGAACUACCGGGGUAGCCUUUUUCUAGAGUAGGGGUGGUGGGCAAGAACUGCCAGACAGAGAAUCAGCUACACCCGAGGAGAUCUCGGGACCGUCCCCAGCUCCACUCCCACGCCUCGCAGCCUCUUUCUCCCGGUUUUCCCACCGCACGCAGCUCGCACCGCCAAGUCGGUGGUGGUGGAGGGUGCGGGUCCCCUUCCCUUUUGUUUAACUAAGUCGCCUUCCCCUUCGCACGCACUCUCGCAUCCGCCCACGCUCCACUGCAAACACUGGGCAGAGCAGUGCCCAACCCAACCACUGUUUGUUCAGCGAGGCGCUGGCGAAGCAAACACACACAACUGAGUCAGAGGCAGAGCCCUUGCCCACGACGGCCACACAGUUAGAAUACAAAACAGACCCUCUCCUCUUCUCUCCACCUCCCGCCACCACAAGCCACGGACGCACUCGAACUCUGGGACAGACAGGGGCGCUGGUGAACCAGGACAGAAGAUGGCACAGGUUUGGGCACGCCGCGGAAGCUCGGGAUAUCGGGAACUUCGCAUAAUGGGGCCACACGCAAGCCGAAGCAUAACUAUAUACAAAGUUUCUCGCAUUGACUUUGACGGGCGAGAUGUACUUUAUUUCGCGAUCUCACACUAACCCAGCGCCGCACCGGCACCCGCUCGGUGCUGCGCUCUC
rnacentral:lncRNA from 1 species